ensembl:lncRNA
GGUUCUGUGGCUGUAGACAGGAUGGUAAGCCGAGUAAAUCAGGAUCAGGGAACCUCCAGGUUUCCAGACAAAUCUGAGCCACUGUCCAGGCGCCGCUCACGGCCUUUGACCCGCAGCAGACCACUGACGCGCUCAUCCCUCUCAUCCCCUAUACACCUCCAGGCCCGCCGGGCUAGGGCUACUGCAAAGAUGACCAGCGAAUCGGCAGAUGUUUUCCCCUCCUUUAUCCUUCCAGCUGUUCGGCUACAGGUUCAUACUCCAGUCCAGAAGUGAAAGAAUAUGAAUCAGUGGGGCACUCUGCAGCUAAACUGUCAACUUACUCUGUGUCAUGUCGGGCAAAGCAGGGAAAGUUAGACCAGACUCCAGCCUCCAUCACCUUCACCUUCACCGUCUUUGAUGUGGAGCAAUUUCAGCUGCACAAGUCACAUUCUGGGUGGAAUUAUGUAGCCAAAUAUUUGCUCAGUGCUUCGACUAAGAUGGUGAGCCGUGUCAGUAAAGCAGCAUUUGGCAGCCAGAUAACCUCAGGAUUCUGAUGACCGCACAGGGUGUCUAGCGUGUUUCGACAAGCUGAACUGUUGAAUCAGGUCUUUACUCAUUGGAUCCCUGCUGACCUGCAAUUUAACACCACAAACAGGACAUCCGAUGGUGUCA